CCACGUCUGUCUGUUAGUCACUUCCUGGUGGCUGAUAGCGGACUUGUGAACUGGCCUGGUGUAGCUUUAUUUCCUACUUGAAAACAUGGAGUUUAUUUGGAAUUUGACAUAGCCAGAUCGGAUGCUCUAUGUAUCUUUUAAUUCGUUUGGAUCAUAAUGUGGAAGAAGGAAAACCUGCGGAAAAAUUUUCUGCGUGUAAAGCAGAUAGCGGAUCAGAAUUUAGGAAGGGUUACUUUUCGAGGAGUCAGCCUUGGCAACAAAGUUGAGAAGUCAGAGGUUUUAUCCGAGGAAUUCCAGAGUGUCGAGAAGAGAGUUGAAAAUGUCAAGACUGUCUCGUCCACCAUCGGCAAGAAGCUGUCUUCCACCCUCAAGGCUCAACAAGGAGAUGUGGAGAAGAGACUGAAAAAGUUGCCAGAAACAUCCCUGGGGUACAGUUUGAUAGAGGCAGCUGGUAUUCUGGGUACAGAGACACUUCUGGGCUUGGUCUGUCAAAUCUGUGGUGAGUGCCAGAGCAAGUUAGCCCGGGAACAACUGCAGUAUGAGAUCAACGUGGAGAGGGAGGUGCUCACACCCCUACUGGGUGUACAGGAGGCGGAUAUCCCUGCCAUUAACAAGGUGCGAAAACAGCUGACCAAGUCGACGCUGGAUAUGGACUCAGCCAAAAACAGGCUGAACGCUGCUGUGCGGCAGUCUCACGUCCCAGGGACAAACAUCUCGUCAGCAGCAGCAAAGGCAGACACGAUAAAGGAUGAGUACGAAGAUGCCAUGAACAAAGUGGAGCAGGUUAAGGAUUGUCUUGCUAUUGAGUUGUCCAACUUUGUUGCCAAGGAAACUGACCACAGUACAAGGCUGCUAGAACUUUUACAAUCACAAGCAGAGUAUCAUAAAAAGGCCCUGGAAUACAUUGAAGAAGUCAUACCCAGAAUGAAAACAUCAAUAGAUAACUACCCCAACAAGCCAGUGUAUGGAACGUCUCUGGUGGAGCACCUGCGUGUGACAGGGAGAGACAUUGCUCUUGUGUUCGAGGCCUGUAUUGUCACGCUUCUGGAGACAGGCAUGGAGGAGGAGGGCUUAUUUAGAAUAGCAGGUGCUGCAAUUAAGCUUAAAAAAUUAAAGGCUGUGUUUGAUGCACAUCUCAUUGACAUGGAGGAGUUUGUUACAGAACCACACGUCAUAGCAGGAGCCUUGAAGCAGUACAUGCGUGAACUUCCAGAACCACUUCUCACCUACUCUCUGUACACAGACUUCAUGCAGGCAGCAACAUUGCCACAUGACCAAAGAUUACAAGCUCUCUGGACUGUGGUGUCGAAAAUGCCAAAGCCGAAUUAUGACAACUUUAGAUAUUUGGUGAAGUUUCUGGCCAAGUUGGCAGAGAAGAGUGAUGUAAACAAGAUGACCCCUAGCAACAUUGCAAUUGUGAUAGGCCCCAACCUCUUGUGGUCAGAGGGGGAGAGUGCCCCCAACAUGCUGACAACCGGGACGCUGAGUUCUAUAAUAGAGGCGUUUGUGAUGCAUGCCGACUACUUCUUCCCUGGAGAUCUUGACUUUCAUUUGACCAGUCGCGGGAGCCAGCCAUCGCAUUUGAAACUGCAAAGUGGAAUUGAUGUAGGUGCUUUCCCUAAACUGAACGUUGUAGCACCAGCGUGUGUUUCUCACAGUGAGGCCAUGACCUCUACCAUUGUGGCCAACCAUUCGGAAUGCAAGACACUUCUCCAGCUGACUGAAACAUGUGGCCAAAUGGCACAGGACAAGUCAGAGAGUGCUCGGCCUAGUGUGGAGGGUGAUGGCGCCAACGUGGCUGCCAGGCUUAGCCAAGGUGACAGGACUCUUGCAUCUAAAGGUCGCAUUAACAGCUCGUCUACACUCACCACUACUAACCCCCUUCUAGGCUCUAACCAGUCUGAUGUACUGUACAACGCACGUUCGAGCUCUGUUCCACCUACGCCUGUGACUAAGAGCUUUCAUUCAGACGUAUACAGCACUGUGUUUGCACUCCAGUCUCUUGGCGACGGAGCAUGGAAUGAUUAUCUUACUAAAGUGCGUGCAAUGUGGGAUGGGCAGUAUACACAGCAUCCAGCAUCCCCUCGACCGACUGACCUUGCAGGAGCCAGCAGUGGGGUCGCAGGAGGUCAACCAAGCCACAGAGGUCAAGAACUAGACUUUACCAAUACGGGAGGUCUUCCUCUACAAGCGACCAGUCCCCAGCAACGAUUUGGCAAUGCAGUAGCUCCCUCUGCUGGUCCUCCCUCCCCAGGUGGUCAAGGGGAGACAAUCCAGCUACUCCCAUCACCUACUACAGCUCCUCAGGGGUCAUCUCUAUUAGGGGGAUCGUCCCCCCAGGGCGGGGGUAAUGGAAGCAACGCGAGCUCUACCAGUAGUCUGACGGCCACCUCUGCCGAGAGCCCGGAACUCGGAUCCAGCCCCAAGGUUCAACGUCGAGUCAGCCGGAAGCCAGCCCCGCCCCCUCCAUACGCCGUGGCAGUGACGGCCACAUACAACAAUCGCAACAGUCAGUCACAGACACAGUCACAAACAUGGCCUAGAAAUGCCCCCUUGGCCUCACCCGAAUCACCUUCAGAGUCAGACAAAGAAGACAAUGAAAGAGUCAGACCCUGUCCCCCAGAGAAACCCCCACCCCCUCAUCAGCUCCACCCCCACCCUGAACGUCCCACAGGACCACCCCCAGACCGGCCAGCAGGACCCCCUCCAGAGAGACCCAAAGCUCCACCUCCAGUUGUCCCCCCUGGCCACCAGAGGUCAGCAUCAACUGGCGCCAUGUUUACAGUAGUUGGUAUGCCAGGAGCAGCCAAUGGACAAGGGACAGGUACAUUGUUUUCAUCUCAGGAAAGCCUAGAGAAGGAUUCAGGGUCGACACUAACUGAGCAGGGCAUCACCCCGCUUCUUUCACCUUCGUCUGAUAAGCAUGCUACUUCCAACAGCCAUAUCAAGUCGGGCUCCUCGCAAAAUAUGAGAGUUACACGCCCCACUCCUCCUCCUCCUCCCCCGCCAAUCAACAAGGCUACUGAGGAAACACAUCUGUGAUUGGCCAGUGACUAACUAUUUGCUAUUUUACCUCUGUUAUUUGCAUGCUAAUUGGGUAAAUGUCUAUCUGCUACGGCGGGCUAUUUGUGAUCAGAACAACUUACACGUCCCUCAUCUCUCUCUCUCUAUCUCUCUAUCUCUCUAUCUCUCUAUCUCUCUUGAGUUCUACUUAACAUUUCAGUGUAUGUGUGAACGAUGUCACAAUGAUCACAAUCACUAGUGCUAGCUAAAACUACGCAAUUUCUUAGUUUCUUGAUGCCCCAAUCCUUUUAUCUCCAUAAUGCAGCUUGGCAGCUUAAUGUCAGUGUAUGGAGAUAAAAUCCAUGUCUGAAAUAUUUAAUGUGACAUCUCUUACACAGACUACUGAAAGGUUUCUAGCAUUGCUUAAGCAGCUUUCCAAAACCAGCAUUUACAGGUAUCAAAUUGUAGUUAACAUACCUCAUGCGGUACAACAGCCAAACAUCACUGUUCCAACUACAUGUAAUAUAUUAUCAACAUCAGUAGAGACCAAGGUAUAAGCUGUGGAUAUGUUCAUUAGUCUUUCUCGUUGCUCAUGACUUAUGAUACUUGAUGUUAUAAUUGUUAUCUCUGUGUUGUAAGUGUAGUUCAUUACUGUACAAUAUGCCUGGGACUUUGCUGUUUAUGGUGUGCAAUUUUAAAAUGAACAAUCUUUUCGUGAUAUUUUUAUAUAUGAUUUGUAUAUUUUUGCGUAAGAUUCGUGUAGUUUGUCAGUAUUACAUUGUGAGAAGUUUCUGUUAUCAAGACACCUUGCUGAGUUGGCAUUGCCACAGAACCUAAACAAGGUUGAAUCCUGAGUUUGGGUUCAGACUUAUUAUUAAGAUCUAUUAUAAGGAUAUCGGUGCUUUAUUAAAGGCUUGGACAGUUCUUGCCUGGUAAUGGGAUGGAAUAACAAACACCUGUAUACAAUGCAUUUCAUGGUGCUAUCAUGCAAGCAAUGGGUAUUCAUAACAUCAACACAAGUUCAGUCUGCACAUAAAUGGUACAUGCGUGUGAUACAUGGAUUUUAUCGAAAGUUUUGUUUUCUUUUGUCCAGAAGAAACUCCCCAGGACUAGUGUUGACUGGCAAGAGAAAUCAUGACCGCGGCACUUUAGUCUAACAGUCCCUAGGGUUUGUAUCUCAGCUGCUGGGGGAAACAAGGGGCAUGGGACAUUGUGCUCUUUGUUUACCUCUUGAAACAGAAAGAAUUAAAUCUUGCGUCUUUUCUUAACACUAUGCCAUGUUUUAACUAUGUCUGUGACUGUAGUUUGUGAAUUUUGAAAGAAGUGAUGAACCACCUGUUGGGAGGACAUCCAAUGAAAGAUUGUUCUCAGUGCUACGUAACAUAUUUGAUGAGGAUGUGUGCCAAAAUAUCUCUUCGUAUACACUUUUUGCUGAAUUUUGUCGUCACACAAUUGAUUUUAACUAUAAAAAGUUCACAUGCCAGUAGAUUCAUAACAUUUUUUAUGUUCUAUUUUCCUGUGUUUUUAUUGUAUCAGCAUUCAUCACAUCACUCUCUUAUUUUACCACCAUUCAUCACCAUUUCUGUCAUAAUGUUAGUCCAAAGAAAACUAAGCGAAAUACAAGGUGUGAUAACGACUCUUUUUAGGCCACAAGAAUGGCUAAAAAAAAUUGUCAGAAAAGAAAUUGUAAGUGUUCCAAAAAUGUCAAAUUAGUUACAUAUUUCAUGCUGAACUUUUUAAUUUAAGACAAAGUAUCAUUUCUGUAGCAAGCUUUAUCAAAGAACAAACUAUGAAGUCAACUAAGUCUUGUUCUUUGUUUAGAAUACUUCAUCUUCGUUGCAUCAAUGGUGAGGUUAAUGUUAACAUCAUUAUCAUCUUUAUUUACAAGUUCCUGGACUCACAAAAUAUGAAAUAUUGUAAUUGUAAUCAUUUGUUCAGAAUAAAAGAUUCAAGAUACAUGAGGUCCACAGACUAACCAUGUGACACUUUCUAAGAUUCUCCCAACUUUGUACAAACUAGUCAAUCUGCCGCAUAUGAAUAGCCAUGUAUAUUUCCCAUACCACAUUGUGUAAUUGUAUUAUUAGUUAUUGGCUCAACUUGUUGACGACAGCUGGGUUAUUGUUAGUGGCCUGGCGUCAGUCCUUCCCUCCAUCAACAGUUAUGUACUUCACAUCUCCCAACUAAAACCACUGAACCAAUGAAACUGAACCUUGCAUGGACGUUCUUACUAAUUGUGUCAAAGGAUUGCUCAAUUGUUCUGUAUUUCGUUAUUGGUUUACACUAGGCAUAUUAAAGCUGCAUUUUGGACCAUUACUUUGCAAUCAUUGCAUGGAUUAUCCUGCCAAUAAUCUCACUAAGAAUUUUUUAGCUAUCUUUGUAAAAUAUGUAAUCUGUCGGAAUAUUAUGCUUUAAUUCUUAUUCAACAUUUGCACAAUGAUAUUUCAUAGGUGAUUAUUUUAUUUAAACUUUAACAUGCAUCAUUUUUCUCAGAUCUUGUAACCCAAUUUGGCUUCUGUGAAAGGCCAUGCAACUCUGUUUAGCUUUGACUACCAUUUCCAUGUGCAGUGUAGUAAACCUCAUUCUGGAUUCAGUAACUUGGGUUACUAUAAGUUUGUAAGUUAUGUGGAGGGCAGCUUCUGAAAACUUAAUAGCCGAAUUAUUGUUGAUGAGUUUAAAAAAUGUUAAACAAAAUCCUUAAAGAACAUUUGGGAAGAAAUAUAUGUUUGAAUGUGAGAACAGUCUUUAACUUUGCGAGUGGUCAAGAACCCCAGUUGAGUACAUUACCAACAGAAGUCUGCCACACAGCCAUCAUGUUGUACACUUUGAUAGCUUUUGAAGAUUUUCCAGAUGUAAAUGAUUCGUGACUAAACAAUAGUUCUCAGUGUGUGUGAAGAUAUAUUUGACAGAAGAUGGAGGGGGUGUGAAACAUAUCACCUUGUCUCAGUCCAGUCCUUAUGAUCCUGUUGUUGCAAAUUUAUGUGAUCCAUGAAACUGUGUAUAAAAUCAUAACCAAUUUUCGCUAAUUUUAUUCAACACAAACUUCACCUUCUUGUCACAUGAGGUUGUCCAUUUUGAUAGAUGUGUUGAGGUGUUGCUGUAGAGAUCUCAGAGUACUGCAAGCGGGUGUUGUCGAUGUCCUUGCUGCGAGACUGAGAGCUGUUGCUGUUGCUUGUACACGUUUUGUUUGUAUAUAUGACUGUAUGUGUUGAGUCUGGUCACUUUCAUCUGGGCCUUUAGAUUAUACCCAGGUUCAUGCUGGACAAGGGAAUUCCAGCUGUACAGGUUACUCCACAUUAGCCAUGCUGUCUUGACGAUACAUUCAGAGGAUCAUAAUGAGGCAUCUCCAUUGUGUGCACAGUGUCACUGAUUGCAUAACAACUCUUACAUUUGUGAGGUGGUCACCCAAGGUCCAGAUGAAAUGUCCACUGUUGGUCCAUGACGGACCUGUUACCUAGCCUAAGCUGGCAUCUCAACACUGAACUGAUUGGACAAAAAUCUUCACAAUAUCUGUAAUAGAUGCAAUGAACAAAUGACAUCUACUAGGGCUGGGACGGGUAACUCGGGUACCCACAGGACUACCCGGACCUGUGGUUAGUCAUGUGAUAUAUUGUUUAAUGACAAAACUUAUGCACCCAUUCCUUCUGACUUUUAAUAUGGUUGAAUAAAGAUAUAACUUAAGUCAAGUUCAGUGUUUGCAUGACCAGAUUGUUUAAUACAUGUGUCUAAAUACGUUUUGCCAGGGGUAUGAUUAAAAAAAUCCCAAUCGGACAUUUUGUACCUAUCUCUUGAGGUUGACAGUGGGUACCCGGGUAGGGUCGGGUAAUAGGGGGGUGGGUUCCCGUGAAGUAUAUUUGGACUCGUCCCAGCCCUACUCUCUACAAUAAUGUCUUGUCAGAAAUGUAUCCCAACUGAAUGACAGUGUGGCCAUGUGGAGUGAUUCAGAUCAGGAUAUGGACCAGUUAUUGAAGCUGUAGGAAUGCUGCCUGUAGACAGUGUUGAGAUGCCAGAAAGAGCUCCUCUGUGUAAUAGCCCCUGCAUAUUAUCAGUGAUCAUAAUGUGUGAUGUGUACGGAUGUACCAUGUAGUACCUCCCCUCCAGCUGAGACCAGCUUGUGUACUUAUUAUAUGUGACACAGUGUCUGAUGUAUAAUUCAUUCAUCAUAGGACAGCUUGUACAGAUCUUUGCUUAAUAUAAAAAAUACAUUUAUUAAAAUCAUCAUGCUCUCGUAAAA
rnacentral:misc_RNA from 1 species